AUGCCAAGCAGCCAACAUGAUGAAUCUAUUGAUGUGUGUGUGCCACCACAUAUAAGUUCUGAUGAGAAAUACGAAAAAGGAAUAGAAGCAUUGGUUCCUGUGACGCACGUUGCAUGGUGUACGGAGACAAAUAAGAUGGAGUCCAACAGCACCACGUUUCAACAUCCAUGCAUCAAGAGGUUUGAGAGAGAUCAAACGAGGCAGCCGAACCACACCGUAAUAGCCGGGGAUGCAUGUACCCCAAGAUGCAUGCACGAUUAUGUUUUUAGCCAGGUGAAACAAAUUAGAAGGAAACAUAUGAUUUGCUUGUACUUCUUUGAACGAUCACGGCCACCAGAAGAGAUGGUCAUCAGGAAGUUUCUCACACGGGUAUUUAAAUGUUUGAAGGAGAUUGGAUGGGGCCCGCCAGGCUUGCCGGUCCUUAGAUUAAUUAGUAGUCUAAAUCUAAAUCUAGAUAGAGUCCAGAUUAAAAGAAGUAUGUGUGCGUGUAUCUUUUGGAAAGGUUUUAAUUAUGCGUGUGUUCUAAGUUGGCUAUUCUAUAAAGCCUAG
rnacentral:rRNA from 1 species